AACGAACGCUGGCGGCAUGGCUAAGACAUGCAAGUCGAACGGUACGUUUGUAGCAAUAUGGACGUAUAGUGGCGAACGGGUGAGUAAUGAAUGGGUAAUGUACCCCGGGCUCAGGGAUAGCGUCGGAAGCUUCGGCUUCCUUUGCGAAAGUGACGGUAAUACCUGAUGACGCCCUCGAGUGGCAUCGCUUGAGGAUCAAAGGGUGGGGAUUCGAAAGAACCUGCCGGACCGGGAGCAACCUAUUUCCUAUCAGCUAGUUGGUGAGGUAACGGCUCACCAAGGCUACGACGGGUAGCGGGACUGAGAGGUUGGCCCGCCACAUCGGGACUGAGACACUCGCCCCGGACACCGUACGGGUGGCUGCAGUAAC
rnacentral:rRNA from 1 species